rnacentral:rRNA from 1 species
UACGUAGGGUGCGAGCGUUGUCCGGAAUUAUUGGGCGUAAAGAGCUCGUAGGCGGUUUGUUGCGUCGGCUGUGAAAACUUCACGCUUAACGUGGAGCCUGCAGUCGAUACGGGCAGACUUGAGUUCGGCAGGGGAGACUGGAAUUCCUGGUGUAGCGGUGAAAUGCGCAGAUAUCAGGAGGAACACCGGUGGCGAAGGCGGAUCUCUGGGCCUUACCUGACGCUCAGGCGCGAAGGCGUGGGAGCGAACGGGA